rnacentral:rRNA from 1 species
UACGUAGGGACCAAGCGUUGUUCGGAUUUACUGGGCGUAAAGGGCGCGUAGGCGGCAAAUUAAGUCAGCUGUGAAAUCUCCGAGCUUAACUCGGAAAGGUCAACUGAUACUGUGCGGCUAGAGUGCAGAAGGGGCAACUGGAAUUCUUGGUGUAGCGGUGAAAUGCGUAGAUAUCUGGAGGAAUACCGGUGGCGAAGGCGGCAUCCUGGACCAUUACUGACGCUGAGGCGCGAAAGCUAGGGGAGCAAACGGG